rnacentral:rRNA from 1 species
GAUGAACGCUGGCGGCGUGCCUAAUACAUGCAAGUCGAGCGAACAGAUAAGGAGCUUGCUCCUUUGACGUUAGCGGCGGACGGGUGAGUAACACGUGGAUAACCUACCUAUAAGACUGGGAUAACUUCGGGAAACCGGAGCUAAUACCGGAUAACAUAUUGAACCGCAUGGUUCAAUAGUGAAAGGCGGCUUUGCUGUCACUUAUAGAUGGAUCCGCGCCGUAUUAGCUAGUUGGUAAGGUAACGGCUUACCAAGGCAACGAUACGUAGCCGACCUGAGAGGGUGAUCGGCCACACUGGAACUGAGACACGGUCCAGACUCCUACGGGAGGCAGCAGUAGGGAAUCUUCCGCAAUGGGCGAAAGCCUGACGGAGCAACGCCGCGUGAGUGAUGAAGGUCUUCGGAUCGUAAAACUCUGUUAUCAGGGAAGAACAAAUGUGUAAGUAACUGUGCACAUCUUGACGGUACCUGAUCAGAAAGCCACGGCUAACUACGUG